AUCUCCAGCCAUACCACCCAGAACUCUCGUGAUCUUGUCUGAGCUCAGAAGCUGGCAGGGUUAGGCCUGGUUAGUGGAUGGGAGAAU
rnacentral:rRNA from 1 species